UGGGGAAUAUUGCACAAUGGGCGAAAGCCUGAUGCAGCGACGCCGCGUGAGGGAUGACGGCCUUCGGGUUGUAAACCUCUUUCAGUAGGGACGAAGCGCAAGUGACGGUACCUGCAGAAGAAGCACCGGCUAACUACGUGCCAGCAGCCGCGGUAAUACGUAGGGUGCGAGCGUUGUCCGGAAUUACUGGGCGUAAAGAGCUCGUAGGCGGUUUGUCACGUCGUCUGUGAAAUCCUAGGGCUUAACCCUGGACGUGCAGGCGAUACGGGCUGACUUGAGUACUCCAGGGGAGACUGGAAUUUCUGGUGUAGCGGUGGAAUGCACAGAUAUCAGGAAGAACACCGAUGGCGAAGGCAGGUCUCUGGGUAGUAACUGACGCUGAGGAGCGAAAGCAUGGGUAGCGAACAGG
rnacentral:rRNA from 1 species